UUUGAAAUACAAACCCAGUCAGUGCGCAGAAUGGUAUACUCCUUUCUGUCACUCCAUCUGGAAUUUAUUAUUUUAAACAGGAUCGUGGAGUGUUGGCAUUCUGUGAUCUACGAAGUUGCUACUGCAAAAAUGUCUCACAUCUUGAGAUGUCUUAGGAACUGUACAUGAGCUGGAAAUGCUGCUUAAAAUGAGAAAAUACAACUAACACAAAGUAUUAGUGCAUUAUACUAUUUAAGUAUUCCAACAAAAGGAAAUGUCUGGAUAAUGUUUCUGGUGUUUUUAUGUUCUUUGUCAGUUUUCAUGCUAAUAAGAUAAUGGAUUUAAGCUGUUUUGCUGCUAAUGGAUUGUUCAGAUGUUCAUUUCCUGUUGUGUGUGGGUUAGGUCAUUUCAAAGUAAGUGUAAUAAAAGUCACAUACACAAUAAAUUAGAUGAGUUGCAAAUUACUAGAAGGUGGAAAUAUCAAUCAGUGAAGGACUGCUCUAUUCACAACUGGUUUCUAGUACAUAGAUAGUAGGUACUAAAAGAAAAUAGACACUGGGCCAGAUACAGUUUUGCUGUGACUUGAUCUGGAAUUUCUGAUAUAUCAGCAAAUCCCUAAAUCCUGGUAAAAUAUGCUCAGCUCUGAAAGACCCUUACAGAAUAAACUUUGAAUGUUUUAUUAUAUGGAUAAUAUUUGUCUGCUUAACCUGUUCUGACCUGGCUUUGAAUACUCGUGGAGUAACCGACAUGCAUUUUCCAACAGGGGAGCCAGUGUUGACAAGACUAAGUAUUGGAUUCAGAGGAUAAUACUCAGGAUAAUACUUUAAUAAGCUAGCUUUAGAUUACAUUUGUUUUGGGUGAGUUUUGCAUGGUGCAAAUGGUGAGUAUGAACUUUAGUUACAGAAUAUAUAUAGACUGUGAUAUGCCAUAUUAGAAUUGCUAGCAAAUAGUAACCAGUGCUUGCAAUAAUACAUUUACUGAGUUAUCAUCUGUAAAAUAAGAAAUUAAGCCAAUACAUAGUCAUAAGCAGAUAGUUUUGAGAUGUAUAUGUUUUCGAACUUUGUAAAUAAUUUUACUGACUUUGUUUACACCUAAAUUGCUGUCUUGAGAGUAAGAAUUUUAAAAUGUUUAAGAGUUUACAAAGAUCUGAACUUUUUAAUAAAUACUGUUUCUCAAGUGCUCCAUCAUUUCACACAUCUUUGUUUUCUAGCUAUCUUCUUGAUCUCUCAUUUUCCAGGAUAGCCAUAAAAAAUAAAUGCAGUUAGUUGCUUAAGUAAUUUUUAAGCAUUUGGUUACAGUAGACCUUGUUUUAGGGAUUAUGUCCACAUUUUUGAAGAUAGAGAUGUGCUGUUAUUGUCUGACUUGUGUAAGCCCAGCAAUGCACAGAGUUGCUUUAAAUUUGGGCUUUCAUCUGAUUGUACCUUAAAAAUAAUUGCAUAUACUAGUUCAUAUUUUUAGUGAAAAUAUAAUCAGUCAAUCUGUUCCUGGAGUACUACAUCUGGAUAUGGAGCCCUGAGUACAGGAGAGACAUGGAUCUGUUAAGUGCAUCCAUAGGAAGGCCACAAGAAUGAUCCAAGGGAUGGAACACCUCUAUGAGGACAGGCUGAAAGAGCUGGGGCUGUUCAGCCUGGAGGAGAGAAGGCUCCAGGAAGACAUGAUAGUGGCCUUCCAUUAUCUAAAGGGGAACUGUGAGAAAGAAGGGGGCAGACUCUGUAGUUGUAUCUGUGGUGACAGGACAGAGAUAAAUGGUUUCAAAAUAAAAAAGGGGAGAUUUGGUUGGGAUGUAAGAAAGAAGAUUUUAGAGUGAUGAGGCAUUAGAACAGGUUGCCCAAAGAGGUGGUGAAUGCUGUGUCCUUGGAGACAUUCAAGGUCAGGCUGGUCCUGGCUCUGAACAAACUGAUCGAGCAGAUAGUGGGUAUGCCUUUCAUUGAAGAGACUAGGUGACCUUUAAGAAUCCCUUUCAACUCAAAUGAUUCUAUGAAUUGAACAGCUAUUCUAUUUGGAUAGAGCUGGUGAGUGCUGUGCAAAUUACAGUGUACGUAUACAUUGAGGCUUAAAGUACAAGUUGAAAUCUGUUGAACCACACAGUGACUCAAAUAUCAGUGGUCAUUUUUAAGUACAGAAGGCCUGUUCUGUCACCAUAGUAAGUUGUUUUUUUCUUUUGAAACCAUAGAAUUAAGUAUGGAUAAGACACCACAGCUACUUCAGUAUCUUCAGUAUCAGGUAUUUUGGAGAUAGAGGUUCAAAAUGGAAACGUUUUUUGAAUGUUGUAAGAUGAAGAGAGAAAGAUACGGAUGUUUUUUAUAUUUGAACAGUAAUAAAUGAAGUGUAAAGUGGUCAUUAAGUGCUUGUUAAGAGUAAUAAGAAUACAGUCCUGCAAUGGAGCUGUAAUAGAAAAAGAAAUGAACAGGAAAACCAUCGCUAUCAUUAGUAAUGUUAUUGGGACUAGGUUUCUGAAGUUGAUUAUCACCAGAAUAUUGCCCAUCCAUUGGCUGUCCAUCCAAGUCUAGGGAGUGACUGCACAUGGGAGAAUGGUGAGCUUGAUUCUGGAUACCAGGAACUGCUACAUAGCACAAGUUAUUUAUGUUCAUAAGAAAAGAAUCCUUAAUGUGAUGAUGGUGGCUGCCUUCACAGCAAAAUUAGGUGCAAUUGGGAAAUCUUACAGAAACAAUAAAUUAAAGAAGUUAUAUAUAUCCUUUGCAACCUGGAGACAGACUAUGAUGUCUGAUGACAAAGCUAAUUUAGUAUGUAUGCACACAUCUUUCUGUAAGUAUAUUUGCUAUGCUGGACUAAGAAAACGGUUGAAAACAGCUACAUUAAAAAAAAAAAA